UACAGAGGUCUCAAGCGUUGUUCGGAUUCAUUGGGCGUAAAGGGUGCGUAGGUGGCGAGGUUAGUCAGGUGUGAAAUCUCGGGGCUCAACCCCGAAACUGCACUUGAUACUGCCUUGCUAGAGUACUGGAGAGGAGAUUGGAAUUUACGGUGUAGCAGUGAAAUGCGUAGAGAUCGUAAGGAAGACCAGUGGCGAAGGCGGGUCUCUGGACAGUUCCUGACACUGAGGCACGAAGGCCAGGGGAGCAAACGGG
rnacentral:rRNA from 1 species